rnacentral:rRNA from 1 species
UACGAAGGGGGCUAGCGUUGCUCGGAAUCACUGGGCGUAAAGGGCGCGUAGGCGGCCAUUCAAGUCAGGGGUGAAAGCCUGUGGCUCAACCACAGAAUUGCCUUUGAUACUGUUUGGCUAGAGACCGGAAGAGGUAAGUGGAACUGCGAGUGUAGAGGUGAAAUUCGUAGAUAUUCGCAAGAACACCAGUGGCGAAGGCGGCUCACUGGGUCAUUACUGACGCUGAGGCACGAAAGCGUGGGGAGCAAACAGG